rnacentral:tRNA from 1 species
GCCGGGGUGGCGGAAUUGGCAGACGCGCAGGAUUUAGGAUCCUGUGAGAUUUAUCUCGUGGAGGUUCGAGUCCUCUCCUCGGCA